UUUGAUACUAAUAAUUCACCUCGAAAUCACUCCACCGAUGAGUAAGUAAUACGUACCUGAACAUCUUGAAUACAUAAUACUUAUUUGAUGGUAACUUAAUGCAGAUACUCAAUAUCAAAGUCUUACAUGAAUCCUAGCAUUUAGCCGUCGGGUCUUUAAAGCUCGGAUAUAGUACGAGCACGAAGCCUACGGACAUUAAUCAGG
rnacentral:lncRNA from 1 species